GGGGAGAGUCUUAGAAUCCCCGCCGGUCCCGUGUAAAUAGUCGUGCCUUUGGCCGGACAUGACGGUUUGUGAAUC
ncrna:unclassified sequences L13-Bacteroidia ribosomal protein leader